rnacentral:tRNA from 1 species
GCUCGGUUGGCUCAGCUGGUAGUAGCGUGGGGCUGUUAACCUCCAAGGUCACUGGUUCGAUCCCAGUAUCGAGCG